GCAGCGUUCCAACAGGAGAUGACGAGACCUGAAAGAACUCACGGAGGAAACGAAGACCCGCCGUGGAGCAGCUUGAGACAGCAGCCAUUCCCCGAGGUGAGCCCUGAGGAACUCAGGGUGUGAAAACAAAGGAUACCAGCCCUUGAUGGUAGCUGAGGUGCGGGUGCAUAUCAAGGAAUGAUUUCAUGCCAAUGACAUUCCAAUUUGACCAUGGAGGGACAAGAAAACUCCCCUGCCUACACGGAGGAAGAAAUGAUGAUGGAAGCAUGAUAUAAUCUACCCAAAAGGUCAUCUGUGGACUAGCAGUAUCACCAUCAACUGAGAGCUAGUUGGAAAUGCAAGGUCUCAGGCCCCAUCCAGGCCUGCAGAAUCAGAUCUGCCUUCUAACACCAUCUCUGGGUGAUUUAUGUAAAAAACCUCCCCCCUCCAACAAAUGGAAGAUAUUAAUUACUUGAUGACCAGGAGUACAUAGCCCCAGGCCUUCUGGAGCCCAAGGAAUGAUAAUGUUAACCUCUGUGACACCACCUGGGACCUCACCGUCAGCCAGGCACAGGAGAACUGAACU